UUCGGGGAUAGCGGCGGACGGGUGAGUAACACGUAGGCAACCUGCCUGUAAGACCGGAAUAACUAUCGGAAACGAUAGCUAAGACCGGAUAGCUGGUUUCUCCGCAUGGAGAAAUCAUGAAACACGGGGCAACCUGUGGCUUACAGAUGGGCCUGCGGCGCAUUAGCUAGUUGGUAGGGUAAUGGCCUACCAAGGCGACGAUGCGUAGCCGACCUGAGAGGGUGACCGGCCACACUGGGACUGAGACACGGCCCAGACUCCUACGGGAGGCAGCAGUAGGGAAUCUUCCGCAAUGGACGCAAGUCUGACGGAGCAACGCCGCGUGAGUGAUGAAGGUCUUCGGAUCGUAAAGCUCUGUUGCCCUAGACGAACAGCAAGGAGAGUAACUGCUCCUUGUGUGACGGUAUAGGAGAAGAAAGCCCCGGCUAACUACGUGCCAGCAGCCGCGGUAAUACGUAGGGGGCAAGCGUUGUCCGGAAUUAUUGGGCGUAAAGCGCGCGCAGGCGGUUAAUUAAGUCUGGUGUUUAAGCCCGGGGCUCAACCCCGGUUCGCAUCGGAAACUGGUUGACUUGAGUGUAGGAGAGGAAAGUGGAAUUCCACGUGUAGCGGUGAAAUGCGUAGAGAUGUGGAGGAACACCAGUGGCGAAGGCGACUUUCUGGCCUAUAACUGACGCUG
rnacentral:rRNA from 1 species